CAACCUGCCUUUAUGAAUGGGAUAACAUCGAGAAAUUGGUGCUAAUACCGUAUAAUGUUCUUUCUUCACCUGAUGAAAGAAUCAAAGGUGCUUUUGUACCGCAUAGAGAUGGGCCUGCGUUCCAUUAGCUUGUUGGUAGGGUAACGGCUUACCAAGGCUGCGAUGGAUAGCUGAUCUGAGAGGGUGAUCAGCCACACUGGGACUGAGAUACGGCCCAG
rnacentral:rRNA from 1 species